AUUCUGCCGUCGGUGGUUGAAGGAUCCGCGUCGUUGCGAUACUUUCAGUCACUAUUUGUGGGAUUUUCUCUUUCGUUUUGAGUUUUUAUUGUGUGUGGGUGGUGGCUAGCCAGGUGGCGAGUUUUAUGUUAAAGACUCUAAACAAUUAAGUUCUCGAGAUAAAUAAAUACCCACUCAAUAAAUACCGGCCAAUAAUCAGAAGUCACGUGUAUCUCUCUAACUACUUGACAUUGGCAGAAUCACUGCGUGGCGCCCUGCGCGCUUCAGCGGGACAGUCCAUCCCAAAAAAAAAAAA